AGUGAGCGCUGGCGGUAGGCCUAACACAUGCAAGUCGAACGGCAGCACAGUAAGAGCUUGCUCUUACGGGUGGCGAGUGGCGGACGGGUGAGGAAUACAUCGGAAUCUACUUUUUCGUGGGGGAUAACGUAGGGAAACUUACGCUAAUACCGCAUACGACCUACGGGUGAAAGCAGGGGAUCUUCGGACCUUGCGCGAUUGAAUGAGCCGAUGUCGGAUUAGCUAGUUGGCGAGGUAAAGGCCCACCAAGGCGACGAUCCGUAGCUGGUCUGAGAGGAUGAUCAGCCACACUGGAACUGAGACACGGUCCAGACUCCUACGGGAGGCAGCAGUGGGGAAUAUUGGACAAUGGGCGCAAGCCUGAUCCAGCCAUACCGCGUGGGUGAAGAAGGCCUUCGGGUUGUAAAGCCCUUUUGUUGGGAAAGAAAAGCAGCAGGUUAAUACCCCGCUGUUCUGACGGUACCCAAAGAAUAAGCACCGGCUAACUUCGUG
rnacentral:rRNA from 1 species